rnacentral:rRNA from 1 species
CGACGAUGCGUAGGGGUUCUGAGAGGAAGGCCCCCCACACUGGAACUGAGACACGGUCCAGACUCCUACGGAAGGCAGCAG